AUUGAACGCUGGCGGCAGGCUUAACACAUGCAAGUCGAGCGGUAGCACAAGAGAGCUUGCUCUCUGGGUGACGAGCGGCGGACGGGUGAGUAAUGUCUGGGAAACUGCCUGAUGGAGGGGGAUAACUACUGGAAACGGUAGCUAAUACCGCAUAACGUCGCAAGACCAAAGAGGGGGACCUUCGGGCCUCUUGCCAUCAGAUGUGCCCAGAUGGGAUUAGCUAGUAGGUGGGGUAAUGGCUCACCUAGGCGACGAUCCCUAGCUGGUCUGAGAGGAUGACCAGCCACACUGGAACUGAGACACGGUCCAGACUCCUACGGGAGGCAGCAGUGGGGAAUAUUGCACAAUGGGCGCAAGCCUGAUGCAGCCAUGCCGCGUGUGUGAAGAAGGCCUUCGGGUUGUAAAGCACUUUCAGCGAGGAGGAAGGUGGUGAACUUAAUACGUUCGUCAAUUGACGUUACUCGCAGAAGAAGCUCCGGCUAACUCCGUGCCAGCAGCCGCGGUAAUACGGAGGGUGCAAGCUUUAAUCCGGAAUUACUGGGCGUAAAGCGCACGCAGGCGGUUUGUUAAGUCAGAUGUGAAAUCCCCGGGCUCAACCUGGGAACUGCAUUUGAAACUGGCAAGCUAGAGUCUCGUAGAGGGGGGUAGAAUUCCAGGUGUAGCGGUGAAAUGCGUAGAGAUCUGGAGGAAUACCGGUGGCGAAGGCGGCCCCCUGGACGAAGACUGACGCUCAGGUGCGAAAGCGUGGGGAGCAAACAGGAUUAGAUACCCUGGUAGUCCACGCUGUAAACGAUGUCGAUUUGGAGGUUGUGCCCUUGAGGCGUGGCUUCCGGAGCUAACGCGUUAAAUCGACCGCCUGGGGAGUACGGCCGCAAGGUUAAAACUCAAAUGAAUUGACGGGGGCCCGCACAAGCGGUGGAGCAUGUGGUUUAAUUCGAUGCAACGCGAAGAACCUUACCUACUCUUGACAUCCAGAGAACUUUCCAGAGAUGGAUUGGUGCCUUCGGGAACUCUGAGACAGGUGCUGCAUGGCUGUCGUCAGCUCGUGUUGUGAAAUGUUGGGUUAAGUCCCGCAACGAGCGCAACCCUUAUCCUUUGUUGCCAGCGGUUCGGCCGGGAACUCAAAGGAGACUGCCAGUGAUAAACUGGAGGAAGGUGGGGAUGACGUCAAGUCAUCAUGGCCCUUACGAGUAGGGCUACACACGUGCUACAAUGGCAUAUACAAAGAGAAGCGACCUCGCGAGAGCAAGCGGACCUCAUAAAGUAUGUCGUAGUCCGGAUUGGAGUCUGCAACUCGACUCCAUGAAGUCGGAAUCGCUAGUAAUCGUAGAUCAGAAUGCUACGGUGAAUACGUUCCCGGGCCU
rnacentral:rRNA from 1 species